UUCCUAAAAAAUAUCUCUUCGGUUUGAGAGUACUUGGCAUCCCUCUCCCCUCGAUUCAGCGCCGCCGGAGAGGGCAUCCCAUCGCCGCUGUAAAGAUCCCGCAGGAGCAGCGCCCUGCACAGGCCAGGCUAGCUACGCCCGGAUCAAGUGCCACGCGCAGCCCUACCCCUAUAUUUAGCGGCCGAUGGUGGAUCCACAUCCCACGGCCGGAUCUGGAGCGCCGUCUAUACGACCGGACUCUCCACCAUGGGCAUUUUCCUCUUGUCCUUGGUGAUGAGCGCUCGAACCAAGAAGUGGAUUCAGGUGAGGGAGGGCAUGUGGGUUGCGGGAGCAAGGGAGGGCAGGAGGCGGGCCUGCCGGCAGCAGCUUUCUGUUCGGGGAUGCUGGAGCAUGGCCAUGAGAACCAUCGCCUCUGCUCGUACGCCGCGGUCGGCGAGCCACUAGGGACACGCCGCCGCCGGUAGACUUCUCUCACAUCUGGGCAGUGACACCUUCGCUCAAGGAUCUCCCGCCUCUAAUCUUUUUUUUCUUCUAUGAUACAUGCACAUCUUGGAGAAAUCAUGCAUCUUGUUUCCCUGUAGCAGCCAGGCGAACGGGCAAAGGAUAAAGCGUCCCUGCGAGUUCUCAAGUACUGCAGUGGUGAAAUCCUUGAGGAGUUCUACAGUUUAAUCAGUUCACACGAAAAUCUAAUAUUACCCCCAUCUGUUAUCAGCUAGCAGAAGUGUACAAUAUAAAGCAUCUCCGUAAUGUGCAGUCUGCUCCAAAGAGACCCCAGCUUGGGAUUUGAUUACCUUAGGAGCCACAAUGUUUUGCCUCCUCAAUGGACCAUGUACAACAAGGACCUCAUGUGACGCCCCAGGAACUUUGAAAAUGUGAUUAAUAUCAAAGAGGAACGAUGCGACCAUGAACUCCAACUCCACUAGCUUGAAGAACCAACACACCACAUUUUUGUGGCGCACUUGAGCUUCUCAGUUGGACUAUAGUGUCAUAUAGUCAUAUUAGUUUUAUGUAUAUUGCAAUUGUAGUGUCAUAUAGUCAUAUUAGUUGUAUGUGGUGUAGACAACCAGUACUGAAGGUUUCGUCUUUUUCUCUUUUCUUUGCUAAGCCUAUAAUUUGGAGAUUAGCACACUAAUUAAUUCCUUCAAUAGGAUGUGUUCUAUAGGUUACGACUAAGACUUUCAUAUAUGUAUGUGUAUCACUUAUUCUUGAGCAGAAUAGUAUUUUUUUUCAAGCAGAGUACAAUAGUGUUCAGAGUUAAUUAGUUGGGUAUAUACCAACAACCAAAAAAAUCUCAAUUAACUUGAAAUAACUAAACUGUUGCUCGAAUUAUACAAGAAAAAAACCAAUUAAUAUUUCCUCAAUGGCUUUUCUUUGUCGACUAUAUAAGAAUUUGCAUAAAGACAUGUUCCAAGGUACAGGUAAAAGUAUAUAAGUUUAUUUGCUUUAACAUGAAUACAUAUGCUAUUAUCCUUUUGCUAAUUCAUUUAUAUGUACUGACAUAUAAAUUAUUUAUGAUUUUAUAGAAUGGACGGUCCACCGUUAUAGAAGCAUCAUGAGGCAUUGUAGUCAUUGACAAAUAAUGAUUGCGUCCCAAGACCGAAGAUUAUGAAAAAAAAUCUUGUUUGUAGUUAGAGAUGAACAACUACAAUGGUUGUCUUGAGUGUGUUUUUGGUUCAUAAUUUCUUAACGGUAUUUUCGCUCCAGAAUUGU